UUUAUUUUGACACAACACGCUUUUUCUCAAAACAUGACCGUGUGGAGAAAACAAACGAACCCUUCUUCUUUUGUGGCCAAAAUUGCACAAC